rnacentral:rRNA from 1 species
GACGAACCGUGCGAACGUUAUUCGGAAUCACUGGGCUUAAAGGGCGCGUAGGCGGCCACCGCAAGUCGACUGUGAAAUCUCCGGGCUUAACUCGGAAAGGUCAGCCGAUACUGCGGGGCUAGAGUGCAGAAGGGGCAACUGGAAUUCUCGGUGUAGCGGUGAAAUGCGUAGAUAUCGAGAGGAACACCUGCGGCGAAGGCGGGUUGCUGGGCUGACACUGACGCUGAACUGCGAAAGCUAGGGGAGCGAACGGG